CGACACAGCUAAAAAUUCAAACAAAGAACUGAUCUUAGCUAUACUGUUUGGGGAAAAGAAAUAAAAAAUUAGACAGCCGCAACACACGCCACUAAAGCCACCACCGCCGGCAUAACGCGGAACCAACAGUUGGCAACAUUCAUUCGCGCGUCAUUGCUUCGUUCGCUUCGUCUCCGCAACAAGAGCCGCCAUCUUCUCGCGCCUAACGUUUUGUAUGGCUUUGUUCUCUGCAAUCCGCGCACACAGCUCAUCGGUGGCUGCACGUCUGCUCGGCGUCGCAAUGCGGCCUGCGUCAUUUUCUGGUGCUCGCGCAAUCGGUGUGAAACAUGUCGCAUGUGAAAUGUUUGAUAGAAGUGCCUCACGUCCAAGUCAAGCCGCCGUACGGGUGUAUGGCUGUGCGCCUCGUUCUCGGAAGCGUCGACGGGUUUCCGGCAUGCGGAUUUCAGCGUUUGGACUCGACUUUUGGUGAGGAUGUCGAUCGACCUUGGGCCUGGUGACAGCACACCCGACAUCGCCAAAGUGCAGCCUAUCAGUUGAGUGCCCCUGAAUGGACCAUCAACAUCGGAAAAUGAAGCAGAGCCAGGGGAAAAGGUUCCGGUAACACCAUGCAUUCAGUAUGGCGGCCCAGAUGUGUAUGCAAGCAACCUCCUUCAUGUGGACCAAGAACUACUCUGCAGUGUCUCGCAGACUUCAUUGGAAUGGCUCGUUCUCGUCUCAUUGGAAUGGCUGCUCAUCUAUCUGCGUGUCCAUCACCAAGACGGCCAGUUGUAAAGCUCCUGUACCCGUUUUAAGAAAGCUUAAUGAUUUUUUUUAUUUAGUUUUCACGGU